GUUGGAUCGUGAUCCGAGGCUAUAAGGGGGGUUAAUAGCCUCUUUUCGAUUUAUACAGGUUGAUUGCGGAAUUACCUGUAAAUGCUAAAUAAACAAAUGGUUGAACAAGUAAUGAUAUAAGGAUAUUAUGAUUUUGAUUGAUAUAAUGAUGUAAGUAUUACUCUCUGAAGCUUACUACAGUAUAUGAAUACUGAGUCAACUUGCUUGAUAGUGUUUUACACACAACUAUAGUAUAUGAGUACUAAGUUAUAUUGAAAACACAAAUUGUAAUGUAGAGUAAAUGACCAGAUAACUGGAUAUAUUGAUAUGCAAGUAAAUGACCAGAUAACUGGAUAUAUUGAUAAACAAGUAAGUGACCAGAUAACUGGAUAAGUUGAUAAACAAGUAAGUGACCAGAUAACUAGAUAAAUAUGAUAAGUAAUACUUGAACAAAUAUAAAGAUUUAAAGCAAUGAAUAUAACCUCAGAUAGUUGAUCAGAUAACUGGAUGAGGGAUCUGCGUAAAGUAGUCAACCUCUGUGUUUGACCAGAUAACUGGAAGAGGGAUCUUUUUAAUUAAGUGUUGUUAUUUAAAUAAAAGAUAGAACUAUAAUUAACAGAGAACAACACAAGAGAUUUAUACUGGUUCACCCAAACAAGGGCUAGUCCAGUCCCGACCAACUGCCGGAAUUCACUCGCCUAAAGGUAAUGGCAAAACCUUUCUAAGCUUUAAGGCUACUUCGCUUAGGAACCAGUCUUUUACGGGUAGACUCACACCUUAGAGUAUCAAGGGCACUCUUAAGAACCUCUAACUUUUACGGGUAAGUUAGUACCUUAGAGUAUCAAGGAACUCUUAAAAACCUCUCUAAGCUUUAAGGCUACUUCGCUUAGGAACCAGUCUUUUACGGGUAGACUCACACCUUAGAGUAUCAAGGGCACUCUUAAGAACUUCUAACUUUUACGGGUAAGUUAGUAUCUUAGAGUAUCAAGGAACUCUUAAAAUCCUCUGAAAUCUUUAAAGGUAGACUCAACCUAAGAGUUUUCCCGGAAACUCUAUAAAACCAAACUAGAGCUUUAUGGUUGAGCUCACAAACCUUCUCUAACACUUUGGUACUAUUGAGACAACCCUCUCAACCAAAGUGAACACACACAAGAGGUGAUUAGAGGAGUGGAAUAUUAAAGCAAACAACACUUCUUACUUGUAAAGAUGAACAAGAAGAUUAGAAGAAGAAGUUGGAGAGCUUUUGAAGCUUUGGAAAGCUAGGACACUUGAGCACUUGAAAGCUUGGAAGCUUGGAGGCAAAAAUGUGUGGGCAAGUGUGGAGUGAAAGCUCUUGAGUUUGCUUGUAGUGUGGUGAGUGAAAAUGAGGGGAUUACCCUUCUAUUUAUAGCCUUGGCCACUCAAUGUCCACCCUUGGAUCUUCAAUGGAUGGCUCCUUGAUUUCUCACAUAAAUCCAAGCUUUGUCUUUGAUCUUAUCUUGAAUAGUGCUUUUCUUGGAUAGAGUU
rnacentral:lncRNA from 1 species